UGGGUAGCUAUGUGCGGACGGGAUAAGUGCUGAAAGCAUCUAAGCAUGAAGCCCCCCUCAAGAUGAGAUUUCCCAUAGCGUCAAGCUAGUAAGAUCCCUGAAAGAUGAUCAGGUUGAUAGGUCAGAGGUGGAAGCGCGGUGACGUGUGGAGCUGACUGAUACUAAUCGAUCGAGGACUUAACCUAAUU
rnacentral:rRNA from 1 species